GAUCCACGCUCACUUAACCAAGAA
rnacentral:siRNA from 1 species